rnacentral:rRNA from 1 species
UACGAAGGGGGCUAGCGUUGCUCGGAAUGACUGGGCGUAAAGGGCGCGUAGGCGGCUUGUAUAGUCGGAUGUGAAAUUCCUGGGCUUAACCUGGGGGCUGCAUACGAGACGUAUGGCUUGAGUGCGGAAGAGGGUCGUGGAAUUCCCAGUGUAGAGGUGAAAUUCGUAGAUAUUGGGAAGAACACCGGUGGCGAAGGCGGCGACCUGGCCAAUAUUGACGCUGAGGUGCGAAAGCGUGGGGAGCAAACA